rnacentral:rRNA from 1 species
UGGCGGAGGCUACACUGCAGGUUAAGCGCGCCUUCGGGUGAGCGCCGGACGGUUUAGUAACGCGUGGGAACGUGCCCUUCUCUACGGAAUAGCCUCUGGAAACGGAGAGUAAUACCGUAUACGCCCUUUGGGGGAAAGAUUUAUCGGAGAAGGAUCGGCCCGCGUUAGAUUAAGUAGUUGGUGGGGUAACGGCCUACCAAGCCUACGAUCUAUAGCUGGUUUUAGAGGAUGAUCAGCAACACUGGGACUGAGACACGGACCAGACUCCUACGGGAGGCAGCAGUGGGGAAUCUUAGACAAUGGGGGCAACCCUGAUCUAGCCAUGCCGCGUGAGUGAUGAAGGCCUUAGGGUCGUAAAGCUCUUUCGCCUGUGAUGAUAAUGACUGUAGCCAGGUAAAGAAACCCCGGAUAACUCCGUGCCAGCAGCCGCGGUAAUACGGAGGGGGUCAGCAGUUGUUCGGAAUUACUGGGCGUAAAGCGCGCGUAGGCGGACUUUAAAAGGUUGGGGGUGAAAUCCCGGGGCUUAAGCCCCGGAAUUGCCUCCAGAAAUGAUAGUCUAGAGUUCGAAAGAGGUGAGUGGAAUUCCAAGUGUAGACGGUGACCUCCGUAGAUAUUCGGGAGGAACACCAGUGGGCGAAGGCGGAUCACUGGGUUCGAUACUGACGCUGAGGUGGAGAAGUGUGGGGACACACAGAUCAAUACCCUGUAGUCACACCGUAACAUGAUGCC